UGGGGAAUAUUGCACAAUGGGCGAAAGCCUGAUGCAGCAACGCCGCGUGAGUGAUGAAGGCCUUCGGGUUGUAAAGCUCUGUCUUUUGGGACGAUAAUGACGGUACCAAAGGAGGAAGCCACGGCUAACUACGUGCCAGCAGCCGCGGUAAUACGUAGGUGGCAAGCGUUGUCCGGAUUUACUGGGCGUAAGGGAUGCGUAGGCGGAUUUUUAAGUGAGAUGUGAAAUACCCGGGCUUAACUUGGGUGCUGCAUUUCAAACUGGGAAUCUAGAGUGCGGGAGAGGAGAAUGGAAUUCCUAGUGUAGCGGUGAAAUGCGUAGAGAUUAGGAAGAACACCAGUGGCGAAGGCGAUUCUCUGGACCGUAACUGACGCUGAGGCAUGAAAGCGUGGGUAGCAAACAGGAUUAGAUACCCUGGUAGUCCACGCCGUAAACGAUGAGUACUAGGUGUAGGAGGUAUCGACCCCUUCUGUGCCGCAGUUAACACAAUAAGUACUCCGCCUGGGAAGUACGAUCGCAAGAUUAAAA
rnacentral:rRNA from 1 species